rnacentral:rRNA from 1 species
GCCAGCAGCCAUAUCACUCUGCAACAGACAACUGGCAGCCCACUGAAGCUAAGCAAGUGUGAGCCUGGUCAGUACCUGGAUGGGAGACCUCUUGGGAAAAACUAAGGUUGCUGCUCGAA